UGUUAAAAAAUUUAUCCAUUUGUACUGUUAAAAACUAGCAUGGUUGAUGGAAUAACCAAACAUUGACAUGUGGCGUGUCAUGUGUACCUCAAGUUGACCAACAUGGACUAGUUUUUAACAGCAGAAAUGGAUGUAAUUUUUAAUA
rfam:Gossypium hirsutum cultivar TM-1 unplaced genomic scaffold scaffold3620.1, whole genome shotgun sequence